rnacentral:rRNA from 1 species
GACGAACGCUGGCGGCGUGCUUAACACAUGCAAGUCGAACGGAAAGGCCCUGCUUUUGUGGGGUGCUCGAGUGGCGAACGGGUGAGUAACACGUGAGUAACCUGCCCUUGACUUUGGGAUAACUUCAGGAAACUGGGGCUAAUACCGGAUAGGAGCUCCUGCUGCAUGGUGGGGGUUGGAAAGUUUCGGCGGUUGGGGAUGGACUCGCGGCUUAUCAGCUUGUUGGUGGGGUAGUGGCUUGCCAAGGCUUUGACGGGUAGCCGGCCUGAGAGGGUGACCGGCCACAUUGGGACUGAGAUACGGCCCAGACUGCUACGGGAGGCAGCAGUGGGGAAUAUUGCACAAUGGGCGGAAGCCUGAUGCAGCAACGCCGCGUUCGGGAUGACGGCCUUCGGGUUGUAAACCGCUUUCGCCUGUGACGAAGCGUGAGUGACGGUAAUGGGUAAAGAAGCACCGGCUAACUACGUG